rnacentral:rRNA from 1 species
AUUGAACGCUGGCGGCAGGCCUAACACAUGCAAGUCGAACGGAAACAGGAAGCAGCUUGCUGCUUUGCUGACGAGUGGCGGACGGGUGAGAAAUGUCGGGGAAACUGCUUGAUGGAGGGGGAUAAUUACGGGAAACGGUAGUUAAAACCGCAUACCGUCGCAAACCCAAAGAGGGGGACUUUCGGGCCUCUUGCCUUCGGAUGUGCCCAGAUGGGAUUAGCUAGUGGGUGGGGUAACGGCUUACCUAGGCGACGAUCCCUAGUGGGUCUGAGAGGGUGACCAGCCCCACUGGAACUUGGACACGGUCCAGACUCCUACGGGAGGCAGCAGUGGGGAAUUUUGCCACAUGGGCGAAAACCUUAAGGAGCAACGCCGGGUGAUAUAAAAAGGGCUUCGGGUUUUAAAACUCCUUUAAGGGGGAAGAAAGGGAGUAAAGUUAACACUUUUCCCCUUGACGGUACCCAAACAAAGAACCACGGGUAACUCCGUG